ACUCCUACGGGAGGCAGCAGUGGGGAAUUUUGGACAAUGGGCGCAAGCCUGAUCCAGCCAUGCCGCGUGAGUGAAGAAGGCCUUCGGGUUGUAAAGCUCUUUCGGCCGGGAAGAAAUCGUGUUCUCUAACAUAGGACAUGGAUGACGGUACCGGACUAAGAAGCACCGGCUAACUACGUGCCAGCAGCCGCGGUAAU
rnacentral:rRNA from 1 species